UCACAAAAGAAACAGUCCAUCCUUGACCACCUGGUUGAGUCCUCUGUUAAGCCAUCCGUUAUUAAUAGGUGCACUCUCCUCAAGAGGGGAUCACUUGAGAACCAUCACCUCUCCUAUAAAUACCCCCAAAGCAUAAUAUAGAAAGAGGUCUCUCCUUUCUUUCCAACAAAACCUAAAAGUCCAAGUCAUCAUCCUCACCCCUUGAUUCUCUCUUUCACUCUCCUACUUUUCCGACUCUAAGCCUCGGCGUGGGUGAACCGACCUUCCUUGUUGAUAUCUUAUAUCAAGAAUAGUGCAGUGAGCAUGGAUUGAAUUUACUUGUUCCAGCCAAGAACAUAAUAAAUCUAUCUCCAUCACUCCUUUUCCCCUCUUUUUCGCUGUUUGCUUCAUUCCCUGCAUUUUUCAUUUUGAUUUUCCUUUGAUGGUUUGUAUAAUUUCGUCCCUACAAUUGCUUUCUUUGAGCUCUUUCAUAAUGAUCCGCAAGUUAAUGCAUGGUUGGAUCGUGUAUGUUGUUUGGUUUCUUAUUUGAUAGUGUUGUAAGCUUGAUAUGUUUAGAAUUUAGAAUGCUUUAGUUGAUGACUAAACUCAAUGGAUAUCCCCUCCAUUUCCUUUUCACUAUAACCCACUAUCCCUGUCGCAGGUCAGAUCUUUCUUUUCCUUUACAUACACAUAUAUUUAUGUGUAUAAUAUGUUUCAGUCAUCGGGGGUGUCCAACACCUACCCC
rnacentral:lncRNA from 1 species